CGGUCCUUGAGGAGGUACCAUGAGGUACCAAAAAUUUAAUGUAAAAUUUGGUACCUCAUGGUACCUCACAGUACCUAAGUACCAAAUUUACAAUAGAAAAAGUGGUACCUCAUGUUACCUCCUCAAGAACCGUAAAAUUG
rnacentral:misc_RNA from 1 species